rnacentral:tRNA from 1 species
UGCGGAGUAGCCAAGUUGGUAAGGCAACGGUUUUUGGUGCCGUCACUCACAGGUUCGAGUCCUGUCCCCGCAA